UACGGGGGGGGCAAGCGUUGUUCGGAAUUACUGGGCGUAAAGGGCGCGUAGGCGGCACUGUUAGUCAGGCGUGAAAUUCCUGGGCUCAACCUGGGGACUGCGCUUGAUACGGCAGAGCUAGAGGAUGGAAGAGGCUCGCGGAAUUCCCAGUGUAGAGGUGAAAUUCGUAGAUAUUGGGAAGAACACCGGUGGCGAAGGCGGCGAGCUGGUCCAUUACUGACGCUGAGGCGCGACAGCGUGGGGAGCAAACAGG
rnacentral:rRNA from 1 species